ensembl:scaRNA small Cajal body-specific RNA 11
ACAUCUAAAUCCAAUGUUUGGAUAUUAAAAUUCACUGGCUCAGGGAAGUCUGUCAAGAUGCACAGAAAUUUCCCUCUCAGUUUAUGAGGGCUGUCCUAAGAAUAGGGCUGGCUCUCAGAGAGGACAAU